ACCAUUUUUACCGUAGUCGUAUUUUCCUCAUACGAAUAAUCCUCCGCACAUAAUCGUCCCCGAAACCCCUCUAGGGACCAAUUAAACUAUUUACUCAAGAUCAAGACGGUAAAAUUCUUAUUAUAAACACGCUAGUAAAUAAGGUAAAAAUAUAAGGGUCGGGAUGUGACACCCUGACCCGUCUAGGGCUGUCUUAACCAGCCUUGGGCUGCCUUAACCCUCCUAGGGCCGCCAAGAGGCCGUCUUGACCCGUCAAGGGGAUGCGUUGAUCCUCCUAGGCCUUCCUAGUGCCACCAAGGGGCCGCCAUGACUCGCCAAGGGGUUGCCAUGACCUUUCUAGGGCCUCCUUGGCCAGCCUUAACAUUCCUAGGCUCGCCUUAACCCGCCUUGACCCUCCUUCACCCGCCAAGGGGCCGCCUUGACAUGCCUUGACCCGUAUGGGUCGCCUUGAGCCGCCUUAACCCGCCUUGACCGGCCUUAACUCGCCUUAACCUGUCUAGAGCCACCAAGCGGCCGUCUUGACCACGCUAGGGCCACCAAGGGGCCUCGUUCACCCGUCUAAGGCCGCCAUCGGGCCGCCUUGACCCGCCUAGGGCAACCAAGGGGAUCGUCUUUGACACGACCCACCCCAAAUUUCACCCUGAAACCCAGAGUAAGUCGUGCGGAGACCAACUCCAAGGAAAAUUUUACCGAAAAAUCGGCAUAACCUCCCUUGAAAAUGGACAACCCUUCCUAAUAAUACCUGCAAACACUUCUGAAAAUUUAAAUCCAACCUUAAACUCUUGGAGCCUCCGUGCUCCCCAAAUCACAACACCACCCAAAUUAUUUACUAAUCUAAACAAAUCUCAUAUCCAACCAUUUAUAGGUUCAGAGCAACUCUAACAGGAAGAAAGAAAACAUAAUAAAUUAACAAGUGGAAGCUAUAUGAUGACUAUGCCUCAUCCCCAUGUACGCCCGACCUCAACUAUGCAAUCCUGUAAACUGGGCAUUUUUAAAACGAAGAGCCCAGGGGAAAACAUUUGAAACACGUUAGAGUGAGUGGACAAAAACAAAUUAACGAAUAAAAUAUUUAUGUUUCCCCAAAUCAAUUUCCAAGAAAAAUCGAAUGCAUGCUGCAAGCGAUAAAACUUU
rnacentral:lncRNA from 1 species